GGUGAGCGGGGUGCGUGGUGUCAGUCCAUGUUAUGUGCUGCUUCAGAGCUGUGUUUUACAGUCUCUGUGGGCAGUACUCACUCCACACCUGUAGCCAUAAAGCGUCAGGAGUUCAUAGUACUGGCUCUGUGACGUCUCUCUGGACUCCACCCCACUGGCCAGCCUCCAUAAUCUCCGACAAAU